rnacentral:rRNA from 1 species
UACGUAGGGGGCAAGCGUUGUCCGGAAUCAUUGGGCGUAAAGCGCGUGUAGGCGGUUCGGUAAGUCUGCUGUGAAAGUCCAGGGCUCAACCCUGGGAUGCCGGUGGAUACUGUCGGACUAGAGUACGGAAGGGGCAACUGGAAUUCUUGGUGUAGCGGUGAAAUGCGUAGAUAUCAAGAGGAACACCUGCGGCGAAGGCGGGUUGCUGGGCCGACACUGACGCUGAGGCGCGAAAGCCAGGGGAGCGAACGGG